ensembl:lncRNA
GCCGGGGGGCGUCCGGUCCCGGGGCCACCCUGCACAGCUUCCCGCUGUCUGCGCGGAGGUACUCCAACCGCUUCUGCUGCCAGCGCUAAGGGACACAGGACACGGCCAGCUACCCAGGCGGCCUUGGAGACUCGGGGCACAGUGGAGGUACCCCGGUGCUGGGCUCCGAGAAGCCCUCCCUGGAAUCGGCCCCGUUCCGCCUUCCCGACCGGAGCCUCGAGACUCUGAGCGCCACAUUCAACCGCCUGUCGGGGUUGUCUGCGGAAGAAUAGCGGCGCGGGGAAGCCCGGCUGCGGGUAGCUGGCACCCUGACUAUCGCCGCCUCCAGCCCAAACUAGUGGCUCAGCGUCUGCAACUCCCGAAGACGCCCGAGGCGACCGGUGGGAAGGAAAAGCCAACCCCGGACAGAGGUGGCAAAGACUGAAAUAAGUGUCCCCACGGUGUGGCCCACCAACCCCCCCAGCCUCGUGGAAAGAUGGGGAACCCAAAGAAAGGCGUAUAUCCUAAGUGUGGGGAAAAAAAACAAAAACAAAAACAGCUCCAAACCGAGGUUUUUAGCUCCUUAUAAUGCAAGACCCAGCGAUCCUGGGAAGCCUGCGUGCCAGGAGCUUGCUUCCCCGUUUCUUGCACAAAUUAUAAAGUAACCCGCUGUGACUUGGGGGACGCAGAGCAGGCCAGCCCGCCCUGGGGCCCGCGGACCGCUAGCACCAGAAUCCCGGCUCCCAGCAGCAACGUCUCCUGGAAGUUUGGGGUCUCGAAACCCGCCUCUUAAGUUUGGGUUCCACUUGGUUCUGUUGCUCUUCUGGGCGGAAGGAAGCGAACGUAUACAGUCAAGGGCUGCUGCGAUCAUUUGAAUGGUUCUACGCAUUUAGGG